UUCCUUUCCAAUCCAGCAAGCAAGACGAAGAGCGAAGAUUUGAAUUGGAAAUCGAACUAUUUCACUGUAAAGAAAACCAUCGACGUCCAUAAAGAUUCAGAAAUUGGAGACAGUGGAGGAACUACUCGACCUUGACGAGUUGAUAAAAACUUAACCAAGCAAGAAAGAUUUGCUGACAGCCAGGCUCUCAAAGAUUGGUGGAUAUGACUUAAAGAGCUGUUUAAGCACCAUCAUGGACAGGCUCAUGACAAAUGAAUUAAUGUCUAAUCUGAACAUGAAGGGGAGAGGGGGAAAAAAAUAGCUUUGCCGAGACGAAGCUGCUCGAUGUAGUUACAGCUAGUGUCUUGGAUACCCAGAAGGGGACCGAAACGAUGGUCCAUGAUGCCAUAAAAAAUAUAUACUGAAAUAUGCCCCUGGACAGAAGGGAGGAAUAGGAUGGGCAUCACAGGCUAAAUAAAUUAUAUCGAUUGAC